rnacentral:rRNA from 1 species
AUUGAACGCUGGCGGCAGGCUUAACACAUGCAAGUCGAGCGGAGAUGAGGUGCUUGCACCUUAUCUUAGCGGCGGACGGGUGAGUAAUGCUUAGGAAUCUGCCUAUUAGUGGGGGACAACAUUCCGAAAGGAAUGCUAAUACCGCAUACGCCCUACGGGGGAAAGCAGGGGAUCUUCGGACCUUGCGCUAAUAGAUGAGCCUAAGUCGGAUUAGCUAGUUGGUGGGGUAAAGGCCUACCAAGGCGACGAUCUGUAGCGGGUCUGAGAGGAUGAUCCGCAACACUGGGACUGAGACGCGGCCCAGGCUCCUACGGGAGGCAGCAGUGGGGAAUAUUGGACAAUGGGCGGAAGCCUGAUCCAGCCAUGCCGCGUGUGUGAAGAAGGCCUUUUGGUUGUAAAGCACUUUAAGCGAGGAGGAGGCUACCUGGAUUAAUACUCUAGGAUAGUGGACGUUACUCGCAGAAUAAGCACCGGCUAACUUUGUGCCAGCCGCCGCCGUAACAC